rnacentral:rRNA from 1 species
UACGUAGGUGGCAAGCGUUAUCCGGAAUUAUUGGGCGUAAAGAGCGCGCAGGUGGUUAAUCAAGUCUGAUGUGAAAGCCCACGGCUUAACCGUGGAGGGUCAUUGGAAACUGGUUGACUUGAGUGCAGAAGAGGGAAGUGGAAUUCCAUGUGUAGCGGUGAAAUGCGUAGAGAUAUGGAGGAACACCAGUGGCGAAGGCGGCUUCCUGGUCUGCAACUGGCACUGAGGCGCGAAAGCGUGGGGAGCAAACAGG